rnacentral:rRNA from 1 species
UACAGAGGGGGCAAGCGUUGUUCGGAAUUACUGGGCGUAAAGGGCGCGUAGGCGGCCUUCUAAGUCGAACGUGAAAUCCCCGGGCUCAACCCGGGAACUGCGUCCGAUACUGGAAGGCUUGAAUCCGGGAGAGGGAUGCGGAAUUCCAGGUGUAGCGGUGAAAUGCGUAGAUAUCAGGAGGAACACCGGUGGUGUAGACGGCUUUCUGGACCGUAACUGACGCUGAGACACGAAAGCGUGGGUAGCAAACAGG